GAUGAACGCGGCGGCGUGCUUAACACAUGCAAGUCGAACGGGAUCCCGGGGGUUCGCUUCCGGGUGAGAGUGGCGAACGGGUGAGUAAUGCGUGACCGACCUGCCCCAUACACCGGAAUAGCUCCUGGAAACGGGUGGUAAUGCCGGAUGCUCCGGUUGGAUGCAUGUCCUUCCGGGAAAGAUUCUAUCGGUAUGGGAUGGGGUCGCGUCCUAUCAGCUUGAUGGCGGGGUAACGGCCCACCAUGGCUUCGACGGGUAGCCGGCCUGAGAGGGCGACCGGCCACAUUGGGACUGAGAUACGGCCCAGACUCCUACGGGAGGCAGCAGUGGGGAAUAUUGCACAAUGGGCGCAAGCCUGAUGCAGCGACGCCGCGUGCGGGAUGGAGGCCUUCGGGUUGUAAACCGCUUUUGAUCGGGAGCAAGCCCUUCGGGGUGA
rnacentral:rRNA from 1 species